rnacentral:lncRNA from 1 species
GGGCGGGGAGGCGAGGGGGUGGGAAGGGAAGGGUCACAGGAGAAUGAUUACCCAAUAACCCAAUGGGGUACAGAAGCGUAUACACUCUUUUUCAUAGGGGAAGGGGAGAGAUGGAGAAUAUAGACAAUUCUUCUGAGGGCAGCAAGUGAUUCUUAGGGCGAAAAAAUGGACAGAAAUUAACUUGUAAAUGAUUCUCUUUAGAAUUUGAAUGAGCCCGAGAAACAGGCAUCAUCUUGUGAAAAAUCCAUCCAGGCGUAGUUGCCUUCCUCAGUCUUCUUUUCUGAGCUAGAUGAGAUUUCGGAGAGGGGAGGAAGGCAAUUUUGUUUCUUUUGGAAAGACGUUUUCUCGAUCAGAUUAGGAAAUUCUAGAGAGAGUGCCUCCCUAUACUUGGGAGAGAAGGUUAGAGGGACCUUGAUUCUGAGGCAGCUUCGAAGGCCUCUCAGCAUGUCAAAGCGCCAGUCUUUGGGGUAUCGCUUUCUGAGCCCCAACAGUACAAAUAAAUAUUUAGGAGACCGUUGUUAGCAGAACCUGCUCACUAACUGAAUAUGUGGAGAGGAGAAGGGAACAGAACUGUCCAGAGUAACUGGCAUUUGGUCAGCCAAUCAUGUGCUAGGCAAUGGGGAUGCAAAAAUGACUGGGACCAACCUGCCUCCAGAGUUCUCUGACUAAAGAAACAGAUGGGUCUACAAAAUGUCAAUAGAAUGUAAGAAAUGUGAUGACAGAAGUAUACACACGCAGCACAGAGGAGGAUCUUCAGCCCAGCCAGGAAGAUUCAGGGAAGGCUCCCUAGAGGAACCAAGCCUUGAGCUGAGUCUUGAGUCAUGGCUAGCAGUUCCCUCAAGCAGAAUUGCUGAGGGGCUCAGGAGCAUAGACUGAGAAAUCAGAUAGCCAUGGGUUCAAAUCCUGACUCUUGUCUGCUUAUCUCAGAAAAGCUAUUUACACUCUUUGUUUUUAAAAAAAGACAAUAAUAGUACCCACUCCUAGGGUUGCUAUGAGUAUUAAAUCACCUAAAUGUGUAUAAAGUGCUUGGCAUAGUAGUUUGCACCUUCUCAGUGCUCAGUAAAUGGUUAUUGACAUGUUAAGUAUUUCCCAACUGUAUUGCUCCUUCUGUAAUGUCCUAUGUCCAUUCGUGGCAUUACUCAUUCAUUAAGCCAGAAAUCUGAGUGACACCUUCAAGGCUCAUGUGUGUACGUGGACCAUCUCUUGCUUUUCCAAAGUUGUCUACCAAACCAGUCUAUAAAACGUUCAUGCCACUCCUCUGUUCAAAACCCUUCUAUGGCUCCCUACAGCCCACAAGACCCAGGCCACCUGCCUCAAUGAGACCCAAACACUGAUAUAAUCAAGUCUCUGUGCUCCCAAUGUCUCUUCCUCUUCCAAGCCUUUGCACAGCUGUUCCCUGAUCUUGGAACAUUCUUCCCAGCCCUGGCCCUCCUUCAGCAGCUAAUCUCUAAUCAUCUUUCUGGCACUUACUCCUGUAUUUUAACUGCUUGCUUAUUUGUCUGUUUUUCCCAUAUGACCAUAAGUUCCAUUAAGGGUAGAAACUACAUCUUGUUCAGGGCUAUUCCUGUGGCGCCCAAAAGUGAUAAAUGUCUGCUGGAUAAAUGAAUGAGAAGAAUUAGCUGACCCAGUGUGGCCCAGAAAAGCAGCCAAUCCUGAAGGCUUUUCCUCCUGCCUGGAGGUGACACACCAACCCAAAGGACUGCUCAAGGAGUGGAAAGGGGCUUUCUGGGUGGAGACUGCCAUCAGCCCUCUCUGGUCUAAGAAGCCUGCAAAGCUAAAAGCUCAUGAUUUGGCAUUAGACCUGGGUCCACCACAUUUAGUCCUGUGACCUCAGACAGGUCUUGUAACCUGCCCUGAGCUUUGGCUUUCUCUUCUAUUGUAAGGACCAGCCACAUUCAUGUAAAGCACUCACCCCUUGCCUGACCCACACUGACCACUCAAUAAAGCCAUCGAUACUAGGUUCUGGUUGCCAUUU